CAGUCUCUUGCUGUAGAAAACUUUAGAUGGUAAGAUAAGAUAUAGCUUCAAUCAAGAUCCCAUUUAGGAUGGCUGAUACACAUAAUCUGGACACUUUCUACAUUUCUCAGCGUUUCCUGAGGGAAACAUUUCUUCCCGUCACCUCAUUUCCAAGUUCUUAGCACCUUUGGAUCCUCAGCCUCUCUUAUACCCACUUCCUUUGGUGUGUUCUCUUUGCUAUUUUGAAUAAAGCUUAAUACUUUU